AACGAACGCUGGCGGCAGGCUUAACACAUGCAAGUCGAACGCCCCGCCAGGGGAGUGGCAGACGGGUGAGUAACGCGUGGGAAUCUACCCAGUUCUACGGAACAACUGAGGGAAACUUCAGCUAAUACCGCAUACGCCCCAAGGGGGAAAGAUUUAUCGGAAUUGGAUGAGCCGGCGUUGGAUUAGCUAGUUGGUGAGGUAACGGCUCACCAAGGCGACGAUCCAUAGCUGGUCUGAGAGGAUGAUCAGCCACACUGGGACUGAGACACGGCCCAGACUCCUACGGGAGGCAGCAGUGGGGAAUAUUGGACAAUGGGCGCAAGCCUGAUCCAGCCAUGCCGCGUGAGUGAUGAAGGCCUUAGGGUUGUAAAGCUCUUUCAGUGGGGACGAUAAUGACGGUACCCACAGAAGAAGCCCCGGCUAACUUCGUGCCAGCCGCCGCGGUAACAC
rnacentral:rRNA from 1 species